rnacentral:rRNA from 1 species
AAUCGAACCCGGAGAUAGCUGGUUCUCCUCGAAAUAGCUUUAGGGCUAGCCUCAUGGAUCAUUGGUGGGGGUAGAGCACUGAAUGUGCGCGGGGGCCACAAAGCCUACCAAACGCUAUCAAACUACGAAUACCAUACAAUGCAGACCAUGGGAGUCAGUCCGCGAGAGAUAAGUUCCGCGGGCAAAAGGGGAACACCCCAGAUCAACCGCUAAGGUCCCCAAGUUCACGUUAAGUGGAGAAGGAUGUGGAAUUGCACAGACAACCAGGAUGUUGGCUCAGAAGCAGCCACACAUUUAAAGAGUGCGUAAUAGCUCACUGGUCGAGUGAUUGUGCGCCGAAGAUGUCCGGGGCUAAACGUGACACCGAAGCGAUGGGUGCGUCUGAAGAAGAUGCGCGGUAGAGGAGCAAUGUGCAGAGGCAGAAGCCGUAUCGAGAGGCACGGUGGACACUGCACAAGAGAGAAUGCCGGUAUGAGUAGCGAGAGGCAUGCGAGAAACAUGCCCGUCGAAAGCCCAAGGUUUCCUGGGGAAGGUUCAUCCGCCCAGGGUAAGUCGGGGCCUAAGCCGAGGACGGAAGUCGUAGGCGAUGGACAGCAGGUGUAGAUUCCUGCACUACCGAUGGAAUGAAGCAGUGACACAGAAGGAUAACUCGAGCAGGGUGAUGGUCAACCCUGUGCAAGCAUCAAGGUUGGGUUGUAGUGAAGUACGCAACCCUACAAGCUGAGGUGUGAUGCGGACCGAAAUUUCAGUAGGGAAGCGAGUGAGUUCACGCUGGCGAGAAAAGCUGCUAGUACAUCCAAAGGUACCCGUACCGGAAACCGACGCAGGUGGGCGAGGAGAGAAUCCUGAGACGAACGGGAGAACCCUUGUUAAGGAACUCGGCAAAAUGACCCCGUAACUUCGGGAUAAGGGGUGCCUGCGAGAGCAGGCCGCAGAGAAUAGUCACAAGCGACUGUUUAGCAAAAACACAGGUAUCUGCGAAAGCGAGAGCUGACGUAUAGGUGCUGACACCUGCCCGGUGCUGGAAGGUUAAGGGAACAUGUUAGAGCAAUCGAAGCAUCGAACCGAAGCCCCAGUAAACGGCGGCCGUAACUAUAACGGUCCUAAGGUAGCGAAAUUCCUUGUCGGGUAAGUUCCGACCCGCACGAAUGGUGUAACGACUUGUGAGCUGUCUCAACAGGGGGCCCGGUGAAAUUGAAGUAUGGGUGAAGAUGCCCAUUACCCGCGACUGGACGGAGAGACCCCGUAGAGCUUUACUGCAGCCUGAUAUUGAGUUUCGGUAACUGAUGCACAGGAUAGGUGGGAGUCUGAGAGACAUGGGUUUCGGCUCGUGUGGAGACGCUGUUGGGAUACCACUCUUCGGUUACUGAAAUUCUAACAUAGCUCUGUGAAACCAGAGGAUGGACAGUGUCAGGUGGACAGUUUGACUGGGGCGGUCGCCUCCGAAAGAGUAACGGAGGCGCCCAAAGGUACCCUCAGAAUGGAUGGAAACCAUUCGAAGAGCGCAAAGGCAGAAGGGUGCCUGACUGCGAGAGUGACAACUCGAGCAGAGACGAAAGUCGGGCUUAGUGAUCCGGCGGUAUUGAGUGGAAAAGCCGUCGCUUAACGGAUAAAAGCUACCUCGGGGAUAACAGGCUGAUCUCCCCCAAGAGUCCACAUCGACGGGGAGGUUUGGCACCUCGAUGUCGGCUCAUCGCAUCCUGGGGCUGAAUUCGGUCCCAAGGGUUUGGCUGUUCGCCAAUUAAAGCGGCACGCGAGCUGGGUUCAGAACGUCGUGAGACAGUUCGGUCCCUAUCCAUCGUGGGCGUAGGAGUCAUGAGAGGAGCUGUUCCUAGUACGAGAGGACCGGAAUGGACGCACCACUGGUGCAACUGUUGUCGUGCCAACGGCAUAGCAGGGAAGCGAAGUGCGGACGGGAUAAACGCUGAAGGCAUCUAAGCGUGAAGCCCACCUCAAGAAUAAGACUCCACAAUAGACCCCUGGAGGACUACCAGGUAGAUAGGUCAUCGGUGGAAGCGCUGUAAGGCGUGUAGCUUGAUGAUACUAAUCGGUCGAAAGCUUCAUUUA